rnacentral:lncRNA from 10 species
AUAGGCUCCAGGAAAUGGGACAGGAUUCUUGGAAAUAAAGAGCUGACCCUGAGACAACGCAGGUGCUGCCACAUCAUUUGCAUCAGGAUUUAGAAUCUCUGCUGGCAGGCCUGGGAAGAUGCAUUGUAACCAAUAAGAGGUAAUUGCCACAUUUACCGAGUUGUGAGAACAACUGUACGGCCUCUCAGAGAAUGCCAGGCGCCCCUGUGUUUGUCUCAGUGUCUCCAGCUUGAAUUGCUUCACCCCUGGCUCUCGGCAGUGCUGCUCCUCUCUCCUGCAUGGAUCACCUGCUCCCGAAAUUCAUUCUCCCAUUUCUUAGGUUGCCACUUUACCGUAGCUUCCUGAUCUAAGAUGGAGAAUUCCUUUGCUUCCCCAAAGGAAGAGUGCACAGGAGCCUGGCACUCCUGGACCUGAGGAAACCCUGAAAAUGUUGGUAGCUGCAAAUCUCCAAAAAGAGGUCGCCAGUCUCCUAAGACUGCAAGACUGACCCAGCAUUCUGGGAGCCAAGAGGCAGAAAGAGUCUGCGGAUCUCCCUGCUCAGUAAAUUGGCUUUCACUAAAUACUCUCUUUGCAUAAGCAGCGUUACCCAGUGUCCUGGAGCUUAGAAAAGUCCUGUUUCAAUGUCUGAAGAAAAUAAAUUGUUUCUUUUUCCAGUGUCAGGGAGGAGUAUUUGACUGCCAGUGUGGACUGAGGGGUCUUGGGAUCACACUCUUCCCAAUGUGCUUUGAACCGACCCUCUGUGCCUGCCUCACCAUCUCCUCUGCUUACCUAGACAUGUGGAAACCCUAACACAAGCCCUUCUAGGAGUCUGUGGUGUGGCUCAGCUGCCUCUGUAGUCAUCUCUCUUCCCAAUAUGCUUUGAACUGGCCCUUCUGUGUCUGCCUCACCAUCUCCUCUCCUUACCUAGACACUUGAGAACCCUAACACAAACCCUUCUAGGAGUCUGUGGUGUGGCUCAGCUGCCUCUGUAGGCAUCUCUUGGGGUUAAACAUUUUCCACUCUCCUAAGGCAGUGCCAUCUAUUCUUCUGCUUCAUCUUCAGAAGACACUGAGCCCUUCCCCACCCUCCCUUCCCCACCCCCCACACCAGGUCCAUGGCGCCCUUGAGGCCACAGGGUUGCUGCCAUAAGAUUUUUGUACUGACUGCUCUCUCCAAGCAACUGUGAGAGAUUUCUAUGGGCAAGGCCUCCAGGUUCCUGUCAAAUCAAAUUGUAGUUGAAUGUUGGAUACUAUUCAAGGAGCAUCCCCUUUUCUCCUUCCUAACAGAGCCCUGAGUUAUUCAGUCACAUGGUUUGAAAUAUGGGGUGGGUGCUGGUUGACUUAACCUAACCAGCACUGUCUCACCCUAUGUCACAGUUAUUGGUUCCAAGGUGGGUGCGCAACUGAGGCUCAUGCCAGGUGCCACACAGCACUCCCUUGGUCCCCCUAAUGGACUUGGGGAUGGGCAAGGGCCUGAGUUGUUCCAAUUAGAGUCAAAUACAAGUUGUACUAAGAGAGUGCUUGUUCAUGCUCCCUCUUUGAUGAAGAAUGCAGCCUCAGAAAUUAUUCCUGGAGAUUUUGCCAUGCUAAGACUGAUUCUGACUUCACUGAAGGCAGAGCAGAAAAUUGGGAAGAGACUGAGUCCUGGGUAGCAUCCAUGAACUUCUGUGCUCAGAUUCACCCUGAAGCCUGGCCUGCUUCUGAACUACCCAUCUGAGUCAAUAAAUUGCCUUCUUAUUAAAGUCAAAUUGAGCUGGAUUUUUAGUUACCUGCAUCUGCAGUUGUUCUGUGAAGCUAAUACUAUGAGUUUGUAUCUGAGAAUAUUUACAGUGCUUCUCUCAUGGUUGAGUCAAUCAUUUCAAGGGUGCUUUAAGGGUAAAAAGAAUGAUCAAUUGUGAAGCAGUGAAUUAUGCUGCCAGGCACAAUUCAUUGGGCAAUAUAAAACUUCAUUUCCUGGGCAGUAGAAAGUUUCAUUGUACAUAAAUUACAUAUCUUGUUUCUGCCUCAACCUCCUAUUUAUUCAUAGGCAAAGGAGAUAAGGAAGUCCACAUAAGUCCAGCAGCUAAUAUGCCUCUCGGGCAUCAUCCAAAACAGAUUUGAAUUAUGCAAGCCUUGUUAAAAUUCAUCAUCAUCAUUCAUAUUUCUGAAUAUUUAAAUUAGAAAUUCUGAAAAAGUAGUUUGAUUCAGAGGUAGUUUGUAUAUAUGUAGGCAUUUUUUCAGGAUCAAAAGCUUAUUUUUUAUUGUCUAAUUGAGUUUAAUUUACAUAUAAUAAAAUUUAGUAAUUUUAAGUGAAGAAAUCAAUGCAUUUUGACUAAUAUAUAUAGUCAUGUACACAACACUACCAUUUCACUUCUCUUGGUUGAAAACAUACGAGGAAUUAUUAUUUUUUAACUUAUGGAUUUUUAAAUGAUUGUCAGUUACUUUAAAAAAUGUAAAUUCUUAAUUUUAAAGGUUUAGGAUGUCUGACAAAUCUGACAAAAACAAGCGAUGGGGAAAGGAUUCCCUAUUUAAUAAAUGGUGUUGGGAAAACUGGCUAGCCAUAUGCAGAAAACUGAAACUGGACUCCUUUCUUACACCUUAUACAAAAAUUAACUCAAGAUGGAUUAAAGACUUAAAUGUAAGACCUAAAACCACAAAAACCCUUGAAGAAAACCCAGGCAAUACCAUUCAGGACACGGGCAUGGGCAAAGACUUUAUGACUAAAACACCAAAAGCAACGAAGCCAAAAUAGACAAAUGGGAUCUAAUUAAACUAAAGAGCUUCUGCACAGCAAAAGAAACUCUCAUCAGAGUGAACAGACAACCUAAAGAAUGGGAGAAAAUUUUUGCAAUCUAUCCAUCUGACAAGGGUCCAACAUCCAGAAUCUACAAGGAACUUAAACAAAUUUACAAAAAAAAACAAAAAACAAAAAAGACCCCAUCAAGAAGUGGGCAAAGGAUAUGAACAGACACUUCGCAAAAGAAGACAUUUACGUGGCCAAUAAACAUAUGAACAAAAGCUCACCAUCACUGGUCAUUAGAGAAAUGCAAAUCAAAACCACAAUGAGAAACCAACUCAUGCCAGUUAGAAUGGUGAUCAUUAAAAAGUAGGAAACAACUGAUGCUGGAGAGGAUGUGGAGAAAUAGGAACACUUUAACACUGUUGGUUAGAGUGUAAAUUAGUUCAACCAUUGUGGAAGACCAUGUGGCAAUUCCUCAAGGAUCUAGAACCAGAAAUACCAUUUGACCCAUCAAUCCCAUUACUGGGUAUAUACCCAAAGGAUUAUAAAUCAUUCUACUAUAAAGACACCUGCACAUGUAUGUUCAUUGCAGCACUA